GAAUUGGGGCUUAAUUAAAAAUGCGGAAAUUCAAUUUGUGCUUAAUCUAAAAGUGUUAGUUAACGAUAUGAAGACAAUGAGACAAUGAAAAAGCAAAGCACAAAGGCACAGGAUUUAUAGCGGUUCGGAGCUACCCUUGCUCCUACGUCCACUCCCCAAGUUCCACUUGAGAUUUUCACUAUAAUCCUAGAAUUACAGCACGGUUGUUUUACAAGCUCACAACCUAACUUGUUGUUUUUACGAGAUCACAACGAA
rnacentral:lncRNA from 1 species